GGAGCAUGUGGCUUAAUUUGACUCAACGCGGGAAAUCUUACCGGGUCCGGACACACUGAGGAUUGACAGGUAACGUUAUACACACAUAUAUUUACUCUCGGGUAUUUAUACUGCUGUGUAUAUAUAAAAUAUGCUAGUCCUUUCAUGAUUAUGUGAUAGGUGGUGCAUGGCCGUUCUUAGUUCGUGGAGUGAUCUGUCUGCUUAAUUGCGUUUCACUAAGGAUCUAUAUUCAUAUUACGCAUAGCAUUUUGACCCCUUUAUGCUUCGGUAUAAAGCUGCGCGUCAAACCUUGCUAUCUGCGUAUAUUAGAUCCUGAAAGCAACGAACGUGACCGCAACCUCUUGUUGCCUUUAACUAGGUUUUGCUUACGUAUAGCUUCGGCUUUACGCUUUGCAUCUAAAAAGGCUGAUUUUCUAAACUAGAGGGACCGCUGUUACUUUCUUAAACCAGAGGAAGGUUGCGGCAAUAACAG
rnacentral:rRNA from 1 species